GCGAAGGUGGCGGAAUUGGUAGACGCGCUAGCUUCAGGUGUUGGUGUCCCCCGGACGUGAGGGUUCAAGUCCCUCUCUUCGCACCA
rnacentral:tRNA from 1 species